rnacentral:ncRNA from 1 species
GACAGAUUGAGAGCUCUUUCUUGAUUUGGUGAAUACCACCAUCCAGGCAUGGCCGUUCUUAAGACCCCCCAGUGACCAAAAGGGAAUCGGGUUAAUAAUCCCGAACCCGGACAUGGAGAUUGGUCCUUCGGGACCAAGUGCGGUAACGCAAACCAGCUCGAUGACGCCGAUGCGAGCCCCGGGAAGAGUUUUCUUUUCUCUGCAAGGAGAUCGUCCCUGGAAUGAGUUCGCCCCGAGGUAGGGAUGGUGGUUCCGUAGAGCAGUGCGGCUCUUGUGCUGUCCGGUGCGCUCGCGCCGGCUUUUGAAAAUCCAAGUGAGGGAGUGUGAUUUUCGUGCCGGACCAUACCCACAUCCACAGCAGGUCUCCAAAGUGAACAGCCUCUAGUC